UACAGAGUGUGCAAGCGUUGUUCGGAAUUAUUGGGCGUAAAGGGAGUGUAGGCGGUUCGUUAAGUCUUCUGUGAAAUCUACGGGCUUAGCCUGUAACGUGCAGAGGAAACUAGCGGGCUUGAGUGUCGGAGAGGAUAGGGGAAUACCCAGUGUAGAGGUGAAAUUCGUAGAGAUUGGGUGGAACACCAGUGGCGAAGGCGCCUAUCUGGCUGACAACUGACGCUGAGACUCGAAAGCAUGGGGAGCAAACAGG
rnacentral:rRNA from 1 species